CCGUGCCGCCGCCUCUCCUCCAUGCCAAGCAGGAUGCAACCGCAUCGGGCGGGAGGCGAUGGUCACCGCCGGUCGCGGGCGUCGCCGUGCGAAGAGCAGGUGGGGCCGCAUCAGCCUUCGUCUUGGGUCCUACCGUUCCUCCCCAAUCGCCCGCCUCGACGUGUAGAGGGGUCGAAGCUGUGGGGGACGCAACAUUGGCGGCGGGCUUUCGCUGGAGGAGCGCGUCCUGGAGGAGGGUGGCGGCGUUCCAGCGAGAGGCCCUGGGUUGGGAGGAGAGGACGCGGGAGGAGGACGAGAAGGGGUGAGGGCGCUCGACCCCGCCGCCCAGCAACGCCGACGGCCAACAUCUACAGCGACGCCGCUAGGGUUGGGCGACACCUCCAUCGGAGAUCCCUAUCGAAGCUUGCACAGGCUCCGUGUAGCCGCCGCCAGCGCCUCCUCGUUGCUGUGGGCAGUGCCAUCAAGGACAUCUUCCCCAAGCCUGGUCUCCACCAGCAGCGCCCCCUGGCGCUCGCACGGGAACCGGCUGGCACGUCCGUCUUCACCAGGCCAAGAAAGAUUAGGGUUUGGGUGUCCAGGAGAUUCACCGACAGCAGCACCAGCCAUCAUUGUUUUUUAUGGACUCCAUGGCUGUUGUAGGAAUGGAGCAAAAGGGUGAUUUUUUUGGAGGGUCUGAUCGUUGUUGUUCUGCUUGAUUACCACAACAAUAGGGUUGCUCCCUCCUGCAAAGCCAUAUAAUAAAAGGUGAAGAGCGGCGGUAGGGAACCACGCCUACGAGCAUGCUCAUGGUGGUACCUAGAUCCCAGCAAUGCAUGGUUACGGAUGUCCUCAGCCAGAGCUAGGCUUCCUUGUCGAUGACUUGCGAUCUACAGCAUCUGUGCAGGAUUGUUGCUUGGUUGGAUAUAGAAACAAAUGAAGAUGUGGAAAGGAUUCUUGAGGGGAACAGUUCAUCACGGGGCGCUAUUUCCAGGGCCAAAUUGCGGUGUUGGUGUUGCUUCACAGGUUUGGUACAAGAAGUGAGGAUAGGAAGUGGCUUGUUCGGUUGGGUAUGUCUAAACUAAAGGAGUUGUAAGUGACCCUGCAAUAUGUAAUUUUGGCCAUGUCAAGAUUGUCUCAACUAAUGACUGAACUUUAUCUUGUCAUUUUGCAGCUUGGAUUUUCCAUUAAGCUUGGUGAAGUAUAUUAUGUUAGUGGACGAACAGAAUACCAUGGAUGUCUUUGCUACUUUGGAGGCAAUUCUUUUUGUGGGUUCACCUCUUGUGAUUAUCUAUAUGAGACAUGCGUAGUAAGUUUUUUCACACAGUACAGAGCUGCUAUUCAGAACAUCAGGAAGCUUAUGAUUUCCAAUUCUGAGUUAUGAGCUCUCUCACUUUGAAUAGGUAUUUUGGUAGAUCCAAUUGUUACAGAAAAAAAAAGGAUAUUUUGGCAGUAUUUCUUCAGCUCCAUUGAAUAGGUAUGGUUAUUUUAAAAUUUCGCAGUGACAACAAUUUUUGUCCUUUUUAUGGUUAAGAGUAACCUAUUUGUUCACUUUCUUGACAGAGUGAGAAAUUUGAAUUUUUUUCUCGUCAUGUGCUUGAUGAAUUGCUUACAAAUGCAUAAAAGAAAAUAUUAACAGAUCCCAGAUCACCUUAAGUACUUAGUAUGCUUAGACUAUACGGCUACUCUUAAUAACUACUGUUAAGUAGAAGGCCUACAUGUGAUCCUCCUGUUAUAGAAAAGGUGGUUACUACAUCUGUAGCUUUGUGCUUAAUCAUUUAGGCCAGUGCCAUUUUCUUGUGGUUUUGCAUCUUUCUUCUCCCCCUUCUUAAAUUUCAUAGUGAUAAUAUCCAUUGCUCAUGUUAUGUCUAGCAGCAAGGCGUCGGUGUAGGCCUGCAACGGCGGUGACCAGAAGGCGGACCGUGAUUGAUCUUGAGAUUGCCUUGACCCCUGUGUCGUUUCGGCUGCUGAAUAGAAGAGCUCUAUCUUGAGAAUUCAAGGACCCCUGGGUUGAGGAGGACUCGGCCAGGGAAUGCAUUCGUUGCUGGAGUGGCGCUCAUGGACUGCCAGGUUGCAGGUAGCUAAACUUUACUGAUUCAUUCUUCCUCCUUGUAGGAAGCUACUAUUUAACAGGGACACAAGUAACAACAGGAUUCCACAUGUGAAUAAGGAUUGGAACGUGAAUGUCGACGCGAGCUCAAUACACUAUGAUCUGACCAUCUACAACAUCCAACCGUGUUUGACCCUUCCAGGUUCAAUCUGCAGAACAUGCGCGAGAAAAAUAAUCCAGGAAAAAGAAGUGCUUAACAUUGUUCUAACAGCAACUCAGCCAAUUUUACAAUACCUGGCUGGCUCAUCAGAUCCCAAGCAACUCCCCUUCAUUUUAGCCGGGAACAAGGUUUAUGUAGACACUGGAAGAAGACGAGUGGAAAAAAUGAAAGAGAAAAGAGAAUGGGCAAUUAUGACAGAAGCACGGACAUCGUGAAUCAAUGCAUAAGGCAGGUUGUAUCACUUUUCUUGAUCUGGUUGAUGUGUGUACUAUACUGCUGCGUGAAACAACCGGCCAAGGUUCCCUUGUUCCUAUGACUAUUUCUGGAGUCAAGUCUAUGGAUAUCACCGUUGCGGGACACACCGUUGCUAUAGCAGAUACAUGGAGAAUGCAGCUAAUUUGGUGGUCAAGGAUUUGAACUACCGCUGGUUAAUGCAAAUACAAGAAGAGAACGGACAUAUUAGGAGUCAGCUCACAUAUAUCGCUGUUCGGGAACACACCGCUGAUGUAGCAGUUAUUAUCGUGUAUGCAGCACCAUUGUUUUGUGAAACCAAAAUGGAUCCAGAGCAAGGAGAAAUUGUGCUAUUACAUUGAUGAAAUGCUAUAGCACAGGUGGUGAUCUGGAAGCACAUGAUUAGCAAAUUUGUGAAAUUAUCUGAGAUCUUCAACCAUUCCAUGCUGUCUUAUGCAGUGUUGUUGGCUUCAGGUGUUAUUGGACAUAGUUAAAUUUUUGUAGAAUGUACACAUGAAUUCCACCGGCUAUGUUCUGUAAUAUAACUAUUUCAAUAUUAGACUUAGAUGAAACAAUACUUGUUUCUA